rnacentral:rRNA from 1 species
UGGAUCCAGACUUUGAUUCUGGCUCAGGACGAACGCUGGCGGCGUGCCUAACACAUGCAAGUCGAACGGAACUUCUUUAAAGGAUUUCUUCGGAAUGAGUUUGAUUAAGUUUAGUGGCGGACGGGUGAGUAACGCGUGAGUAACCUGCCUCUAAGAGGGGAAUAACAUUCUGAAAAGAAUGCUAAUACCGCAUAAUAUAUAUUUAUCGCAUGGUAGAUAUAUCAAAGAUUUAUCGCUUAGAGAUGGACUCGCGUCCGAUUAGUUAGUUGGUGAGGUAACGGCUCACCAAGACCGCGAUCGGUAGCCGGACUGAGAGGUUGAACGGCCACAUUGGGACUGAGGCACGGCCCAGACUCCUACGGGAGGCAGCAGUGGGGGAUAUUGCGCAAUGGGGGAAACCCUGACGCAGCAACGCCGCGUGAAGGAUGAAGGUCUUCGGAUUGUAAACUUCUUUUAUUAAGGACGAAGAAAGUGACGGUACUUAAUGAAUAAGCUCCGGCUAACUACGUGCCAGCAGCCGCGGUAAUACGUAGGGAGCAAGCGUUGUCCGGAUUUACUGGGUGUAAAGGGUGCGUAGGCGGGACUGCAAGUUGGAUGUGAAAUACCGUGGCUUAACCACGGAACUGCAUCCAAAACUGUAGUUCUUGAGUGAAGUAGAGGCAAGCGGAAUUCCGAGUGUAGCGGUGAAAUGCGUAGAUACUCGGAGGAACACCAGU